rnacentral:rRNA from 1 species
GGCUAAACCAUGCACCGAAGCUGCGGCAGCGACGCUGAUGCGUUGUUGGGUAGGGGAGCGUUCUGUAAGCCUGCGAAGGUGGCCUGUGAGGGUUGCUGGAGGUAUCAGAAGUGCGAAUGCUGACAUAAGUAACGAUAAAGCGGGUGAAAAGCCCGCUCGCCGGAAGACCAAGGGUUCCUGUCCAACGUUAAUCGGGGCAGGGUGAGUCGACCCCUAAGGCGAGGCCGAAAGGCGUAGUCGAUGGGAAACGGGUUAAUAUUCCCGUACUUGGUGUUACUGCGAAGGGGGGACGGAGAAGGCUAUGUUGGCCGGGCGACGGUUGUCCCGGUUUAAGCGUGUAGGUGUGUGUUCCAGGUAAAUCCGGUUCACUUUAACACUGAGGCGUGACGACGAGGCACUACGGUGCUGAAGCAACAAAUGCCCUGCUUCCAGGAAAAGCCUCUAAGCAUCAGGUAACAUCAAAUCGUACCCCAAACCGACACAGGUGGUCAGGUAGAGAAUACCAAGGCGCUUGAGAGAACUCGGGUGAAGGAACUAGGCAAAAUGGUGCCGUAACUUCGGGAGAAGGCACGCUGACACGUAGGUGAAGUGAUUUACUCAUGGAGCUGAAGUCAGUCGAAGAUACCAGCUGGCUGCAACUGUUUAUUAAAAACACAGCACUGUGCAAACACGAAAGUGGACGUAUACGGUGUGACGCCUGCCCGGUGCCGGAAGGUUAAUUGAUGGGGUCAGCGCAAGCGAAGCUCCUGAUCGAAGCCCCGGUAAACGGCGGCCGUAACUAUAACGGUCCUAAGGUAGCGAAAUUCCUUGUCGGGUAAGUUCCGACCUGCACGAAUGGCGUAAUGAUGGCCAGGCUGUCUCCACCCGAGACUCAGUGAAAUUGAACUCGCUGUGAAGAUGCAGUGUACCCGCGGCAAGACGGAAAGACCCCGUGAACCUUUACUAUAGCUUGACACUGAACAUUGAGCCUUGAUGUGUAGGAUAGGUGGGAGGCUUUGAAGCGUGGACGCCAGUCUGCGUGGAGCCGACCUUGAAAUACCACCCUUUAAUGUUUGAUGUUCUAACGUGGACCCGUGAUCCGGGUUGCGGACAGUGUCUGGUGGGUAGUUUGACUGGGGCGGUCUCCUCCUAAAGAGUAACGGAGGAGCACGAAGGUUGGCUAAUCCUGGUCGGACAUCAGGAGGUUAGUGCAAUGGCAUAAGCCAGCUUGACUGCGAGCGUGACGGCGCGAGCAGGUGCGAAAGCAGGUCAUAGUGAUCCGGUGGUUCUGAAUGGAAGGGCCAUCGCUCAACGGAUAAAAGGUACUCCGGGGAUAACAGGCUGAUACCGCCCAAGAGUUCAUAUCGACGGCGGUGUUUGGCACCUCGAUGUCGGCUCAUCACAUCCUGGGGCUGAAGUAGGUCCCAAGGGUAUGGCUGUUCGCCAUUUAAAGUGGUACGCGAGCUGGGUUUAGAACGUCGUGAGACAGUUCGGUCCCUAUCUGCCGUGGGCGCUGGAGAACUGAGGGGGGCUGCUCCUAGUACGAGAGGACCGGAGUGGACGCAUCACUGGUGUUCGGGUUGUCAUGCCAAUGGCACUGCCCGGUAGCUAAAUGCGGAAGAGAUAAGUGCUGAAAGCAUCUAAGCACGAAACUUGCCCCGAGAUGAGUUCUCCCUGAGACUUAGAGUCUCCUGAAGGAACGUUGAAGACGACGACGUUGAUAGGCCGGGUGUGUAAGCGCAGCGAUGCGUUGAGCUAACCGGUACUAAUGAACCGUGAGGCU